rnacentral:rRNA from 1 species
AUUGAACGCUGGCGGCAUGCUUUACACAUGCAAGUCGAACGGCAGCGCGGACUUCGGUCUGGCGGCGAGUGGCGAACGGGUGAGUAAUACAUCGGAACGUGCCCAGUAAUGGGGGAUAACUAUCCGAAAGGAUAGCUAAUACCGCAUACGCCCUGAGGGGGAAAGUGGGGGACCGCAAGGCCUCACGUUAUUGGGGCGGCCGAUGGCUGAUUAGCUAGUUGGUGAGGUAAAGGCUUACCAAGGCGACGAUCAGGAGCGGGUCUUAGAGGACGAUCCGCCACACUGGAACUGAGACACGGUCCAGACUCCUACGGGAGGCAGCAGUGGGGAAUCUUGGACAAUGGGCGCAAGCCUGAUCCAGCAAUGCCGCGUGGGUGAAGAAGGCCUUCGGGUUGUAAAGCCCUUUUGUUUGGGAGCAAAUCCUUGUCGUUAAUGCCGGCUGGGGAUGAGAGUACCAAAAGAAUAAGCACCGGCUAACUACGUGCCAGCCGCCGCGGUAAUAC